UGAGUUUGAUUAUGGCUCAGGAUGAACGCUAGCUACAGGCUUAACACAUGCAAGUCGAGGGGCAGCAUGAAUAUUGGCUUGCCAAUAUUUGAUGGCGACCGGCGCACGGGUGAGUAACACGUAUCCAACCUUCCGGUUACUCGGGGAUAGGCUUUCGAAAGAAAGAUUAAUACCCGAUGUUGUGUAUCUUUCUCCUGAUUGAUACGCCAANGGAUUCCGGUAACCGAUGGGGAUGCGUUCCAUUAGGCAGUUGGCGGGGUAACGGCCCACCAAACCUUCGAUGGAUAGGGGUUCUGAGAGGAAGGUCCCCCACAUUGGAACUGAGACACGGUCCAAACUCCUACGGGAGGCAGCAGUGAGGAAUAUUGGUCAAUGGACGGAAGUCUGAACCAGCCAAGUAGCGUGAAGGAUGACUGCCCUCUGGGUUGUAAACUUCUUUUAUACGGGAAUAACAUGAGGUACGGGUACCUUAGGGCAUGACCGUAUGAAUAAG
rnacentral:rRNA from 1 species